GCAGCAACCUCGAGCUGAAUAACGACGGCACCGGCAGCGAUCGGCCGGCGGGCGUGGCGCGCAACUCGCUGAACCUCCCGGCGCGCAAGAACGUCGACGCGCGCUACUCGCGCCGCUUCACCAUCCAGGGCAACAUGGCCGCGGAGCUGAUCGCCGAGGUCAAGAACCUGUUCAACACCAUCCAGACCUCGGCGGUGAACGCGACGAUCCAGACCAACGCGCAGGGCGUGCCCCUGGCGGCGCUGCCGACGUCGUGCAGCGACCUGCCGCCGACCGGCGGCUACGAACAGCGGCAGUUCCAAUUGGGUUUCAAGUUCACGUUCUAGACACGACGGUCCACGAUGGACACCUGCGGUGGAGCAUCCGCCUUUAGGCGGAUUGUUCCUUCUGGCGAAAUGUCCCGAACAAUCCGGCUAAAGCCGGAUGCUCCACCGCAGGUGUCGAGGUUACGCAAUGCGUCGCAGUUCACUAGUCCUCAUCGCUGUCUUCAUCGCCGCGGCAUCCGCACACUCGACCGCGCAGCAUCAACUCCAACCCGUCGCGGCGCUGAAGGGCGCCCCCGCGCUGGAGCUGGCGCUGCGCAAGCUCGACACGGUCGGCAGCUUCAUGAUGACGACCGCGCACCCGGACGAUGAGAACAACGGGAUGCUCGCGUACUUCUCGCACGGGAAGGGCUACCGCACGACCCUAGUCACGGCGACGCACGGUGAAGGCGGGCAGAACGAAAUCGGCCCCGAGCUGUUCGUGCCGCUGGCGGUGCUGCGCACCGAAGAGCUGCUGGCGGCGCACCGCUUCGACGGCGCCGAACAGUUCUUCACGCGCGCGAUCGAUUUCGGCUUCUCCUUCAGCAUCGAGGAAACCUACGAGAAGUGGGGCCACCAGGAGAUCCUGGGCGACUACGUGCGGAUGAUCCGCACGAUCCGCCCUGACGUGAUCGUCGGCUUCGUGUUCGAUGGCGACGGCGGCGGCCAGCAUCACCAGGCCUCGUCUCGCUUGACGCUGGAGGCGUUUCGAGCCGCCGCGGACCCGG
rnacentral:misc_RNA from 1 species